rnacentral:tRNA from 2 species
GAUUAAAUGGCUGAAUUUUAGGCAAUAGAUUGUAAAUCUAUUUAUGAGAGUUAUUCUCUUUAAUCA